UGGAAGAUGAGAGAGUUCCAUUGCUGUGGGUCUGGCAGUCACGCAGGCUGCCCAGACCUUGUGGACUGCCUAUGCUGGGGCACUGGAAGGUUUUACUCUGUCUGGAUGCUGCUGUGGGAGUGCUAUUGAGGUGGGCAAACUCUGCUUGGUCCCAGUGAGCUUCCAGAGUAAGAUUUCAGCUGAAAGUCAAAGAAACCCAAAGAUAGAAGCAGAAAUACCGUGAGAAAAAAUGAACCCGUAGUUUUCAAGCCGAGUGUGAUACAAGAGAACAAUGUAAUCUCCAAACAGAAAAACUCCAUGGCAAGAUAAGAUGCUCAUCAACAGGACCACCUACUCCUGUCCCAGGCCACAGAGCCAUGCCCUCCUGGUGUACCAGCAUAAAGCUUACCAACCCCAGAGACAACCACCUCCUCAGCCAAUAUUACUACUUCCUCUGCUACGUCAGGAGGAGUCCGUCUUGUUCAAUGAACUUCUCAUGUUGGAGUGGACUGAAGCAGAGCAGAGCCAAUCUGGCGACGUCACCGCAGUUGUAAGCAGAGCUCCCUCUCACCCCUCCCUGACUGCCUCAGUCGUGCACAGGGACGCCCGUGGCAGUGGCUGUGAGCUGCGCUGCCCCCUGUCAUCAGCUCCCCCAGGGCACACACGUGCUUCCAACUGCACAGCCUCCUUUCAUUUGCUUCUCAUUCCUGAAAAAGGGGUUCCCCUGACAUCCUUGCUCCAAGUACAGUGUCUACAUUUUUCUUAUUACAAGAACUUUCCUAUUCAUUCUCCUGGGAAUGUUUUUAUUAUCCGCUGUCAUGUCUCUGUAUCACUUGCUAGUAAAAUAAUUGGGAAGUGCUCAGAGCAGCUGAACCAUGCAGCAUUCUUCCCUCGUGUUCUUGCCUUUUUCUCUCCCCUACUGCAAAAGCGCUAUCUGAUUCCCACUAAAACAAGAUUUAAAGAUGACAGCUGCCUUCCAUGUGGUGGCAUUCGCUAUAAAGAAGAGAAAUGUGGACUGAUUUCUUUAACUUGAUCCUCUACAUGCUCAUUACUGCAGUAAUCCAAACACUCUCUGUUUGCUGAAUAAGGAAAUAUCUAGUUUGAAAAGAGCUUUUUGGCUUACUACAGGUUUGCUGGAUCAAGCUCUUAUAGGGUCUGCACAAAACCUUUGUUUAUUUUUCUCUGCUGAAAUUGUUCAAAUGGCUUCUCAUUAUCAUUGGGUGGGACUGAAAAGAAGCACUGAUGUCAGUUUUGUGACAUGUCCUGUUAUUUAAGUAAUUCACAGUCUAGUCUGGGACAUGUUUGAACUUCCUAAAUAAUUGGCUAUGUACUUGGUUUUUUUUUGUUGUUGAUAGGUUUUCUUUUCUUUUCUCUUUUAGCAUGAAUAAAUGAAGAAUGAACAAACUAACUACUAUUGGC
ensembl:lncRNA